GCGCCUGUGGGAAAGUGGUUUAAUCCGUCUCCCUGUCACGGAGAAGAUCGCCGGUUCGAAUCCGGUCAGGCGCGCCA
rnacentral:tRNA from 1 species